GACUGAACUGUCCUUUUUCGGUUAUCAUGGUACCGAUGCUGUAUAUAUGAAAGGUACAGUACUGUGAUAACUGAAGAAUGGUGGUGCCAUC
ensembl:miRNA